rnacentral:rRNA from 1 species
AGACAGCAGUAGCCGCGGGAAUACAGAGGAUGCAAGCGUUAUCCGGAAUGAUUGGGCGUAAAGCGUCUGUAGGUGGCUUUUCAAGUCCGCCGUCAAAUCCCAGGGCUCAACCCUGGACAGGCGGUGGAAACUACCAAGCUGGAGUACGGUAGGGGCAGAGGGAAUUUCCAGAGGAGCGGUGAAAUGCGUUGAGAUCGAAAAGAACACCAACAGCGAAAGCACUCUGCUGGGACGACACUGACACUAAGAGACGAAAGCUAGGGGAGCAAAUGGGAUUAGAGACCCCAGUAGUCCCUGUCUCUUAUAA